rnacentral:lncRNA from 1 species
CUUUGUGAAAGUACAGGUACCGAGCUGUCUUUCAUAAGUGCAUAAUUAACUAUACAUAGGAUUAGUCGCCGAGCCGUCCGUCAUUCCAGUGUUCCAGACUUCAAUUUAAUUGCCGCACUGCUGCCUCGGCUCCUCAUAUGCUUCAGUGCUUACAGCUUGCCAUUCUUCAGAGUAGUCAAGUGAGUGCACUGUGCACGGCCACACUGGUACGAGGAAGCGGGCACAAGGGUCAAGGGACAAGAAGAGAUCAAGAGAAGGAGCUCGAUCGGCGACACAGCCGGCCGCCGGAUGGUGGGUGGGUUUAACUAGCUAAGCACUGCUGCUUCUUCAAUAUUCAGAGUUUCAGACUCCAGUCGCGUCUGUGGUCUGCUCGCCUCGCCGCUCCGUCUGCUUGACCUCGCCGCUCCGUCUGCUUGACCUCGCCGCUCCGUCUGCUCACGGCUCGCCGGUGUCUGCUCGCCCCGCGGCCUCGUCGCUCCGUCUGCUCACGGAUCGCCGGCCCAUCACCCUGCUCUGCUCGGCUGUCCGAGGUGCCGAUUCUGUCUGCAUAAUAUUCAGGUAUAUGGCUGCACUUUCUAUAAUUCUAUUUGCUGCAAUUCCUGUACUUUUUUAGCUCACCACUGUUGAACUUCAGGCAGCAACUAUGAAAAGAAAAGCAGGGCCAAACAACAUUAAGAUUAAUGCUUUUUUUAAGCCGAUUACUUCAAGUUCA